UUAAUGCCUACUCAAGAAUAUAUUGAGCACUUAUUUUGAUUAUUUAAAUAGUUGCAGUGUGGACUGUGCCUGAGACGAUUCCCCAUAACGCCGGCUAUGUUGACAGCUUGUGAAAAUGGAAUCCAAAUGCUCACAAGAAAUGACAAAAGCAGUAUGAAGAUUAACACAACAAAAUUGUGCCAGAAAAGUUUGAAGUAGCUAUGGGAAUGAUCAACAUUGACCUUGCUGAGGCUCUCUUCCUGAAAGUGAC